UACGGGGGGGGCAAGCGUUGUUCGGAAUUACUGGGCGUAAAGGGCUCGUAGGCGGCCAACUAAGUCAGACGUGAAAUCCCCAGGCUCAACCUGGGAACUGCGUCUGAUACUGGAUGGCUUGAAUUCGGGAGAGGGAUGCAGAAUUCCGGGUGUGAGUGGUGAAAUGCGUAGAUAUCCGGAGGAACACCAGUGGCGAAAGCGGCCACCUGGACGUGUAC
rnacentral:rRNA from 1 species